UCAAACUUCCGAAGCUCUCGUGACAUCAUCAAUGGCACUCUUCUAUAACCUGCAAGAAAAUCAGAUAGUGGUACCAGAAGAUGUCCAGCUAUUGAUCAAUAUCUCCGUAGAGAGAUAGA